UAGUGUUAGGGAAGCGCCUUACAACGGCUACGCCGGUGGCCACGAGGAGAGGAUGCAACUGACUAACAUGGGACAGGGUGUACAAAAUGGCCAGAAGAACGGAAUGGACAAUAGGGGUUACCAAGGUACUGACCCUUACUAUAGAGAUAACUACCAUGCGCCCAGUGACCCCUACAGUAGGGCUGGUCCCCCUUCCCAUUACGAACAGCCGUAUGCUCAUAAAGAUCCUUACGGGAUGGAGCGACCACCCAUGUAUGACCAGGCCAUGUCAGGUGGGGGCAGACGUCAAUAUUAGUUAACAUUGCAUAAUCAAUGGCUGGAGAUAAAAAAAUAAAUACCGGACAACUUUAUCGAGACAACAACUGAUCAUCUUAGUCUUUUUCUGACUUUUGGACCUAUGGAACCAUGCAUAGCUCCUACAUCAUGAAGCAUAAAUAUGAAUGGGACUUACAUAAAUAAAAAAAAUAACAAAUUAUUUGAUGUAUAUUUGAACUAUCUGACUUUUGUAAGUAACAAUAUACUUUCCUUGUUGAAAAAUGAAACAAAUAUUGCUCUUCCUCCAAGUAGCUACACUUAAUGUAAUAUGAUUUUUAGUCUAUUUGGACUAUGAAGUUGUUGUUGUUUUUUUGCUCUAAAAUGUGUCUGAAUAAAUUGAACUGUACCUGGUUGUAAA